GUCUCUUUGUUGUCUAUAAAUAAAGAGUCGGGCCUGCUCGGUGAAUUAGUUUUAACAGCUGCGGUAUUUUAACUGUACUAAGGUAGCAUAAUAAUUUGCCUUAUAAUUUGAGGCUAGAAUGAAUGGUUUGACGAAGGUUAAGCUGUCUCUAUCCUAAUUUUUAGAAUUUAAUUUACAAAGUGAAAAAGCUUGUAUUUUUUAAAGGGACGAGAAGACCCUACUGAGCUUAUAAUUAUAUUAUUGUAUUUUCAGUAAUUGAUAGUGUUUUAUAUAAAUUUUAAUUGGGGUGAUUAAGGAAUAAAAGUAUUUUAAGUAACUUCCUUGGUAUAAAUAUUGUUAAAUAAAUUAACCAAUAUUAUUGCUUAUAGUAUAGUUACCAUAGGGAUAACAGCGUAAUUUGUUUUGAGAGUUCUUAUUGAAAGACGAGAUUGCGACCUCGAUGUUGGAUUAAAGUAACCUUAAGGUGCAGAAGCUUUAUAUGGUAAAUCUGUUCGAUUUUUAAAACUUUACA
rnacentral:rRNA from 1 species